rnacentral:miRNA from 1 species
UUGGGUUAGCCAAAAAGUUUGUUUGGGUUUCUCCAUACCAUCUCAAGAAAAACCCAAACGACAUUUUGGCCAUCCCGAU